GACAGAGGGUGCAAACGUUGUUCGGAAUUACUGGGCGUAAAGCGCGUGUAGGCGGCUAUGUAAGUCGGGCGUGAAAUCCCUCGGCUUAACCGAGGAACUGCCUGUCGGACUGCAUGGCUUGAGACCGGGAGAGGUGAGUGGAAUUCCCAGUGUAGCGGUGAAAUGCGCAGAUAUCAGGAGGAACACCAAUGGCGAAGGCAGCACUCUGGGACGUGACUGACGCUGAGACGCGAAAGCGUGGGGAGCAAACAGG
rnacentral:rRNA from 1 species